rnacentral:tRNA from 1 species
GGCGGUGUAGCUCAGUUGGUUAGAGCAUACGGUUCAUACCCGUAGUGUCACUGGUUCGACUCCAGUCACCGCCACCA